GACGAGCCUUUCGAAGGAGACGAGUACUCAGACGAUACAAUGUCUUUGAUAAUGAAUAUCUUAUGGAACCUGACGAGAUCUAUUUUACUUUCCAAAGAAGCACCAGCUGGUCUCAAGGACCUUGGUCCUCCAACACAAUGCGCUAUGUGGUAUCAUCCCCUUUCUUUCUUUAUCCUUUUCAUAUAUAUAUAUAUAUAGCAAGGCGAUAAAAUCACAAGUAAAAUCUCUAUCUUGAUUUUAGAGGUCUUUUUUAUGCAUUCAAACAAGUUGACAAAAGUCAGAAUUGUAAAUUGAAUGCAAAACUUCGAAACGAAAUGGCGUUGCUUAUUCUUCUCAUACUUCAAAUUUUUCCACGUUAUAUCAUCAUCAGCAGUGAUUGAUCUCAAUUUUGAAAUGGUGCGCUAACUCGAAUGAAUUUGAACCGAAAUUGACGAUGAAUUGUACCAAAGCAAUAUGUUCCAUGGUUCUUUCUAAGAACCCUGUCAUAUUAAAAUAUUUUCGUGAACAAGAAAUGAUUCUAACACUAUUCAACGAACUAAUUCGAAGUAAAUCAGAGCUUCGACUUUUAUAUGGAAACCAAAAUAUAAGAAUCGUAAGAAAAUUGUUAGAUAAAUGUAUCUAUUAUCGAAAAUACGAUGAUUUCAACAUAGACCAACGCAAUUGGUUCUUUUAUUUGGGGCUCCAUAGUACCAUGUCCAAUACAUGUGAAGAAUUUUGUCGAUAAGGGAACAGUUUACACCAUAAUCGAUGUGAUCGAAGUUACUUCAUAUCCUGUGAGAUGUUUGUUUCUUGGUCUGCUAUCAGAUAUUUGUGAAAAUAUAUUUUGUGGUCAUUAUUUAUGCAUUUGGUGUGGUAUUGACAAAACUAAGGGAUUCAUGUCUUUGUUAACAAAGAUUUGGAGAGAAGAAGAGAAAGAAAUUGGUGUAAAAAUACGACCAGAUGGCACAGUUGAAGAUCCUGAGUUACCUCAGAUGGGUGUCAAACAAUGGUUCGACACUUAUCACAGUAAACUUACGUACAAUGUUAGUCCUGCAUUGAUCGACAUGAUUGGUUCGGUUUGAUCUAAGAUUUAUGCUAUUUGUCAAAUUAUCAAAAGGUAUGGAAAAAAAUACGAGAUAGUUAAAAACCAU
rnacentral:misc_RNA from 1 species